rnacentral:rRNA from 1 species
UACGUAGGGUGCAAGCGUUAAUCGGAAUUACUGGGCGUAAAGCGUGCGCAGGCGGUUGUGCAAGACAGAUGUGAAAUCCCCCGGGCUCAACCUGGGAAUUGCAUUUGUGACUGCACGGCUAGAGUGUGUCAGAGGGGGGUAGAAUUCCACGUGUGAGCAGUGAAAUGCGUAGAGAUGUGGAGGAAUACCGAUGGCGAAGGCAGCCCCCUGGGAUAACACUGACGCUCAUGCACGAAAGCGUGGGGAGCAAACAGG